rnacentral:rRNA from 1 species
GACGAACGCUGGCGGCGUGCUUAACACAUGCAAGUCGAACGGAAAGGCCCUGCUUUUGUGGGGUGCUCGAGUGGCGAACGGGUGAGUAACACGUGAGUAACCUGCCCUUGACUUUGGGAUAACUUCAGGAAACUUGGGCUAAUACCGGAUAGGAGCUCCUGCUGCAUGGUGGGGGUUGGAAAGUUUCGGCGGUUGGGGAUGGACUCGCGGCUUAUCAGCUUGUUGGUGGGGUAGUGGCUUACCAAGGCUUUGACGGGUAGCCGGCCUGAGAGGGUGAGCGGACACGUUGGGACUGAGAUACGGCACAGACUACUACGGGAGGCAGGAGUGGGGAAUAUUGCACAAUGGGAGGAAGCAUGAUGCAGCAACGCCGCGUGCGGGAUGACGGCCUUCGGGUUGUAAACCGAUUUCGCCUGUGACGAAGCGUGAGUGACGGUAAUGGGUAAAGAAGCACCGGCUAACUACGUG